UGGGGAAUAUUGCACAAUGGAGGGAACUCUGAUGCAGCGACGCCGCGUGAACGAAGAAGGCUUUCGAGUCGUAAAGUUCUUUUAUAUGGGAAGAUAAUGACGGUACCAUAAGAAAAAGCCCCGGCUAACUACGUGCCAGCAGCCGCGGUAAUACGUAGGGGGCUAGCGUUGUCCGGAAUCACUGGGCGUAAAGGGUUCGCAGGCGGAAAUGCAAGUCAGGUGUAAAAGGCAGUAGCUUAACUACUGUAAGCAUUUGAAACUGCAUAUCUUGAGAAGAGUAGAGGGAAGUGGAAUUUUGAGUGUAGCGGUGAAAUGCGUAGAUAUUAAAAAGAAUACCGGUGGCGAAGGCGACUUACUGGGCUCAUUCUGACGCUGAGGAACGAAAGCGUGGGUAGCAAACAGG
rnacentral:rRNA from 1 species